rnacentral:misc_RNA from 1 species
CGCAAACGUCAUCGUCAGGGAGUCGAUGUUCAAACAUGGCCGUUCUGAGUUCGCGAAAUUAAAUAGAAUCCAAACUCUUUGCAAUUGAACGUAAAUGAUGUCUCUUGAGAAAGAUAAGUGUACUUUUGAUAUUCUGAAUAUGUUGUUCGAAUGUUUGGUCGAAUGUCACUUGUGUUGAAGGUCUUCAUGUCGCUGUCAGUGAAAGUUGUCUUGAACGGAAACCAGUUAAAUUGACCGCCUCUUCUGUAUACGCAGCUUGUGUUCGCUCCCGCGUCAGUCAACUGGUCAUAUCAUUCACAAGCAGCACAGUGCCACAUUAAACAGCGGCUGGUGACCUCAAAAUCUCAUUAGCAACAACUAGUAUGUCGGAUUUUCAAAGUUCCUAAUCAUGGUACUGCAGCCCUUGGCUUAAUUUGAGACUGUGAUUUUGUUGGUUAAAGUGCACUUACAUGACCUUCUAGUUCUGAAAUUGUCGUUGGUAAUAGUCGAAAAUAGAAACGCCAGAACUUUGGGCCGGCCGCAGGCGCUGUGGUCAUGAUGGUCCGGUCAGAUGUCAAAUGGACCUUGGUUGGGUUUAGUCUCUCUGGUCAAAUCUAGCGUUUCAACUCAAAAGUUGCAAAAAUGAGUACUUCACAAUCCUGACAUACCUUCAAGUGUCGAGGAGAAAAAAGAUAGUUGGCCUAGCCUACUCGAAAUUUGAGCCAUAAAUACGUUAAACCUGAUUUGUUGUCCGGAGACUGACUCGUGCAAAGAAGUUGUUGCAUUUUGAGUUGGAGCUGGCAUAGGAAAAUAUGAUGAGUAUUUUGUCAUCCAUGAUGGCGGAGGAAAAUGAACUACUGAGUGCAUCUGAAAUCAUCAAAGAUCGAUUCUACUUUGCAACCUUGCGGACAAAACCAAGAAGCACAAUUAACACUCAUUACUUCAACAUCAAUGAUGAACUGGUGUAUGAAAAUUUCUAUGCAGACUUUGGGCCUUUGAAUCUUGGUCAGUUGUACAGAUACUGCUGUAAAGUCAACAAAAAAUUAAAGUCGUUUUCCUUAGCAAAGAAGAAGAUUGUGCACUACACAACAUUUGACGCCAAGAAACGUGCCAAUGCAGCUUACCUUGUAGGAGCAUACUCGGUGAUUUAUUUGAAAAAGACUCCUGAGGAGGCUUAUCGACCACUUGUUGCCGGAACAAAUCCACCAUACCUUCCAUUCAGGGAUGCAUCCUUUGGGGCCUGCACGUACAACCUGACCCUCCUGGAUUGCCUCAAAGCCAUCGAUAAAGCAAUAACACACAACUUCCUUAAUUUUGAGUCAUUUGAUGUGGAGGAAUACGAACACUAUGAGAGAGUGGAAAAUGGUGAUCUUAAUUGGAUUCUACCGGGGAAGUUCCUUGCAUUCAGCGGUCCGCAUCCAAAGAGCAAGAUUGAAAAUGGUUACCCAUUGCACGCACCAGAGGCUUACUUCCCCUACUUCCGCAAGAACAACAUCACGACGAUCAUCCGCCUCAACAAGAAGAUCUAUGAUGCCCGGCGGUUCACGGAUGCAGGUUUUGACCACUACGACCUGUUCUUCAUCGAUGGCAGCGUGCCGAGCGACGCCAUCGUGCAACAGUUUCUCACGAUAGCGGAGAACGCGGAGGGUGCGCUCGCAGUUCACUGCAAAGCUGGCCUGGGUAGAACUGGUACACUAAUCGGCUGCUACAUGAUGAAGCACUACCGCAUGACGGCAGCUGAGUGCAUAGCCUGGUUGCGGAUAACCAGGCCGGGGUCGGUCAUUGGACCCCAGCAGCACUUCAUGGAAGAGAAACAAGCCAGCAUGUGGGUUCAAGGAGACAUUUUCCGAUCGAAGAAGAAGCAGGGACAGCUGAGCUACAAGCAGGGAGUUUCACACAUUCUCAGGGCAGUUGAUGACAUAUCAAUCACAGACAAUGACCGGACACGUGAGGAGGCACAGGAUGAGCCUUACUUAUUACGUUCCAAGUCGCACGGCUCGUCUUCGCUAACCCAAGGAGACAGGCUGAGACAGUUGAAGGGCUCGCGGAAAGCCCGGUCAGCGACGACGGGAGCGCUGAAGUAUGUGGGCGUUGCCAUGAGGGCAUGGGGGAGGGCCAAAGGGUUGGAAGAAGCCAAGAUGCACACAAGAUCCUCAUCGCAACCCCACAGCAACCAAGCCCUCAGAAACUUCUUGAGGACUAAAGCGUCCGGCAAAAAGAUUGCCUCCACGUCAUCCAGUCCCAUGGCCACUUCUCCACUGAAGGCUACCAAGGCAGCCACGGCAGCCAGUCACAGUGCGGCGCCCCGUCGCAGCACACGGCACUCUGCAGCUGCCAGCUCUCCCCUCAAAAGAUGAUACAGCAGUUGUAUGCAGAACAUGAUAAAAUGUACAGGUUUGAGGACAGUAGGCGUCGUACAAGUCAACGUAUUCAUACUAUUAGGUCA